AUGAAAUGCAACGCGCAAAAAUUUUAUAACGCAUUAAUGUGAGUUAUUCGAAAUGCGAGUGCAGCAUUAAAUUGUUACAAUAAGGACACUUCUCAACUUGCAAGUACAUAUUUACGAAAGUUUUGUGAACCCUUUCAUUUGCUUGUUUGUGAAUCGUUUGUCAGAAUUAUAUUAUUCAUCAGUAGUUGCGAUAAUAGUAUUCAGUUUGAGCUGAUUUGGAUGCAGCGAGUUUAUCUGGAAGACAGGUGUCACAUUCUCAGCAUUUCUCACCACAGCAAAAAAAACGAUUUGAAAUGAAUCGGUACCUGCUCCAUGUUGAAAACGAAUGCCAACAAAAGUCCCAAGAAACUCCGCGUUGCUUCGGCUAGAGACAGUAAAGACGAGGCCGCUGGCGCACCGCAGCUAGCAUAUUGCCCGCUUAUGUGGAAAGUCGCAAUGAUAAUCCAGCCCAGUAUCGCGACGAGGCGCACACCAGCAAUUCCGAUAGACAGGCGUCCAAUGCGCUGACAACCUGGUUCAGAGACUUAUGCAACAACACAAAGCGCAUUCGUUCUUCAUCGGUGCGCGACAACGAGAAACCCAGCGCUAACCGGCGAAAUAUCAGUCCCGUGCUAAGGGCAAGGAAAUGACGAACCCAACCAGGAUAUCUUUAGAUACUUCAAAAAACAGGGAAAAGAAAUAGUACAGCACAUUCAGAAUCGUUACCACCGCCAGCGGCAAAUUUGGAAAGUACACUGCGCGGUAAACUUCGGUCAAGGUGGAAAAUGAAGUCCCGUUAUCGUAGCCAUACCACAACAGCCCCGUGAUGGCGAGCAUGCUACCCAUGAAUCCGCCUAAGGCGGCGGCCAAAACGUUCCAAUCGGAUGCCGUUAAAAAUUUUCCAAAGUCUGCAUCGAGUUGCCGAAUUAAACGUAGUAGUUUCUGGCUGACCCGACACGUCAGCAGCAUGUAUGAUAACUCCAGCACGCAUAAAACAGUAUGGAUGCAUCCAACGACAGUAACUUGCAGUUUCGUGGCGGUGGCGUUGUAGCUGGUCCAGGUGUCGGAGGCAUCAAAUAUUCGUGCGGCAAAAAUCAGCAGCGCAUUGAGUAACCACACGGCGCUAAGAGAUAUCCUUAAGCCCGAGUGUUUAACCACAGGAAAGGGGAACAGGCCAAAAGUCUGUAGAAGAAAAAGCCAACAUUUCGAUACUCGCCACAUCCGACGAGAAGAGCACGCACGCGUCGGUACGAGAUCGUAACUACUGUGUUGAGAUUUCAACAUAAUUAAGUUGGCUGUGGCAGGAAGCAGUAAGAUAUCGGUAACUAUGGACCAAUGGGUCCGGUAGGGAGUUAGCAUGGAUAACUGAAAGCCCUAAUGAAGGCAGACAUUCGGUGACAUAUUAGAAAAAUUUAAUUUCAUUAGCUGCAAUUCCUGCGAUGUUCCGACAUGAGGAUACUGCGUACUCGAUGCACUAACAGCAAACACGCUCUCGGUUGACUGAUAGACCACUCUUGAGAAUCAUCGAUGGGUGCAGAAAUCUCCAAGGAUGUUGCAAAGUCACUUCUCUACUUGUAAUCGCUUUUCCACAAAUAUUGUAACAUGAUGCGAUAACAUAGAAGCAACGGCAUCUAAGUAAAUGCUGUCCUCGAUUUUCACAGUUUAUUCUGUCUUUCUGUGCGAUUCGCGGUGAUGAUGUUAUUGAUGUAUAUGCGAGUAAAAGAAUCGCAAAUUAAUUUUUUAGUUAAAUUUCUUACUAAAUCUGCGUGCAAUCAGGUGUAAAGUGUAAACCACGGUACCAUGGAUACAUCCAUGCCGCCAACAGUGGUUUGGAAGACGACGAAAGUGUGGCUAAUUAUUCUGCAAAUCAUGGGGCUUUUUCAUUAUUCAGCUCUCCAUCAUAAUAAGCUACGACUGUUCACGCUAAUGGCCACCGUAUUCUGGAUAUUGCUAGUGGUGAUUAUUAGUGUUUUCUACGCCUACGACAUAUACCAAAUCUACAACGCCACGGCAACCCGCUUUCCCGUCGUUGUGGUAGGAUCCAUCCACGCCGUGUUAUGUGUGCUAGAACUGCCGUAUUUUAUUACAUUUUUCCGGGCUAGAAAAAAGCUUGUCGACCUUAUGCAGCAUCUGGACCGAGAAUUUGGCCAACAUCUGCUGACCUGCGAUCGCAUUGGUUUAGUAGUGUUCACAUCGGUGUACUUCCUGACAUUUGCAGUUACCAACAUCAUACUAAUUUCUGGCUUUGUCCACAAUGAUGUGUUUAAUACUGAUGCAAUCUAUUUCGGGGAACAUUAUUUUCCCAACGCUUCACCGACAGCCUGGUUGACUUUCAGCGGAGUAUAUACGUUUGUUAUUUGCACAUUUGAUGCGAGCAAGCGCAUUGCCGUGGGGUUCAUUUCGUUCAUGGCAAUUGCAGCCGGGCUAAUAUUUCGGAGGAUCACCGUUAAAGCAGCUGUGGCUGGCAGCCGAUUGGAUGAAUAUAUUGGUUUACAAAAACGAGCGUCCUCACUAGUCAAGGAACUGGAUAACUGCGUGUCCUCCGUAUCCGCAUUCAGCCUGAUUGCAAUGCUGGGUUUGUUAAUUAUCACGACAUUCAACAUCAGUGGACAAUACGUCAACUGUGGUGCGGCAGGUGGUAGUACGCUGGUGACCUUAACCGAGGCACUGAUUGUAUUGUGUGUUUUAUCAGCAUCCCACGUGUUUUCCAUCGAACAGGCACACACCCUUUCGCAGUGCCAAAAUCCACCGAGAAACGAUUCGAUAACAAUCACACAAACCUGAAAAAACGGGUUUUACUCGUGAAUUAUCAUAUUUUAGGGUCAGCUAAUCGUUGAGAUAAUUGGUGUGGAUCUGGAAGAGCGUAGCCUGGUGCGUCAUGGUCAUGCUUCUGACCCGGGACUUGUACAGUGGAUGUGGCUGUACAUGCAAUCUGAAAAACUCGCCGCCUGGAUUUUCGAUGGCCGGAAUCCCAGUGUCCAGAGAAAGAGCGAUCGAAAGCGCUAUCGGUCUAAUCGGCUGCGUUCUUGUGUUUUCGGAACUGGCUAGUACCAACAAUACGAGCUUCACUUGCGCCGCAAAUUCCAACAUGACUACCGGAUGGGUAAUUUAAAAAGUGUUCCCAGUACCACAGCUUAUCAGUUAGCGACGCUUCCGAAUCGAAACCCUUUUCUGAAUUAAAGAAUUAAAAACCUUUUUAAAAAUCGGUGACCGGGCCAGCAGAAGCCACGUUAGAUGUCUUUUACGAUAGCGUGCUUAAAUUUGUAAACUGUAAUGUGAAACUAGAAUUACGUAUUGUGAUGUAUUGUGGUGAUAGACAGCAGGCUUAACAGCAAAAUACGAGUAGUUCUAUGAAAUAAUUUCGGGAAUUGAAAAAAGAGUAGAAAAUUGUCGCGGUCCGACACAUGACGAUCGGGGGGUGAUGGCCGUGACCCGGUGUAUAGAGUCGGCAAUUGGCAUUGAUCAGAUUCUACUUAUUAAUCGGCCUCAAUGAAGUUGUAUGCAAAAGCAAGUUGUAUGCAAAAGCCAAUUUUGGACCAUGUGCUGCAGAACUCAAGAUUUCUACAUUUUGCUCAGUCUGCAAGUGCUGGAUCCCGAGCCUUUCGACGCAGCGUUAAUAUCGCUUAAAGUUUGUCUGGGAAAAAGCGAGACGUGCAAUAAUUGCGCUCAAAAGACUCCAUUUUUAGAUUUAUUCAGCCAGAGCUAUGCACUUGCCGGCUAACGAGAUGCAAAAUGUAAGAUUCAAUAAUGGCAACAGCAGCAGUCUGGUUUUAUUCUUGUACGUGCAGUGCAAGUGUGCAUCGAUGCGGUUGCGCAGUACGUGCAGCACUGAAAAUGUUGUUCACAAUGAUACGAUUACAAAUCCGCUCACAACUAAUUCUUCAAAACCGCCUUGUGUCCAUGAGCAGAUUCCGGUCCUGGCAACAGCCAACCCGAAGACAACUAUGGUCUAACCAGAAGAUUUUGCGGGAUAUCGGAUGUUUUUCGACAGCUCAAUCAUUCUUCUUUUGAUAUUAGACGGUUUUCCAUCUUUGAUAUUAGACGGUUUUUCCCCCGUGUAGCUUUUAAGAAAACAUAUUGUGCCAGCAAACCAAAAGCCCAAAAGUGGCCACACAUGCGUACGACCAACAUAUUUUCAUAAGUACUUUAGCGAUAACAAACCGAUUUGUUUACACUGCCGUGGUAUUUCGUAAUGGACAAUAGUCAGCAUAUCAAACAACAGCAGCAACAACUACACCAGCAUUUUGAAAACCACUAUCUGUAUUCACCAUCUUGGCAAUUAUAAAAUUACCGCCGCUCCUCUCAGCGCUGUUUUAUUUCCAUCAACGACAAAGAUUCGUGAAGAAUAUUCCUCAGUUAUGUGUGUAUUGGUUGUCUGCAUAUUAACAACAUUACGUAGCACAAAUUGUAUAUAUACCACAGUAUAGUGCACAAAUUAAAGCAUAUAAGUGACACCUUGUAGCCGAUUAACCGCUGCUGUCUAAUCAAUCCGGGUAUAGUAAUCGCUAUCCAAACUGAUCUUUCCGGUUUUAGAAUUUAAAAUUGUGAGUCUAAGGUUAAAAUACUCUACUGAGUAAGAAACAUAAGAACGCACUUGCACAUAAGGGCAAUCUGUACAAUGCAAAAAGUUUGGAACGUGUCUACUCAAAAUGCAAAUCAGAUUUUCUUUUUGCACGACAAGAGACUUUUUUUAAUAUGAAAAUAUAAAUUUUUUUGAUGAAUUCUUGAAAAAAAAUUUUUUAAUGUAUUCCUAAGCAUCUCGCACGUACCCCGAAAAGUAUGCAUCCAUCGAAAUCGUAUUCAGUUCGCUAGCAGCGGAUUGUCGCGUAUCCACGAGUCAAACGAAUAGUCUGUGGCAAGAGGUCUUGAUGCAAAUUGUCAAAGAGUCUAGAAUUCUAAAAGGAACUGUUCUUACGCAAACUGUUACAGCUAGUACAAUAUAAGGCGAAAUAUCUUUGCGACAAAGGUCUUCAUUUUUUCGAAAUAAAUUUUACGUCGAGCUGUAACACGUAGAAAUGUGUCAUUGUCCAGGCGCAGUAAAAUAUAAUGUCAGCGUCUGAAUUUCAUCUCGGGCUGGUAAUAAAGUAAUAAGCGCAUUCUGAAAAUUUGUAACACCACGGUAGUUAGAACCUUUCUAAAAGUUUAAAACGGACUUUCAAGGAAUUUAUUUCAUUUAAAAAUCGGACAUGUCACAGAACUCGUAAGUCAGAUAAGUAUUCUUAAAUCCAUGACUUCUUUAACAAAGUGCCAAACAGACCGGAAAAAACUACCGAUUGAUACGCAGUUAUGUGCUUGAAGUUUUGAACCUUCUUUCUAUUUUAAUAUGUCUUUUUUCAGCAAAUGGACGACGAGCGCGCAGUAACCAUUUUUUUCUAAUAGAUGCAGUUGUUUUUGCUUUACUAUCAAAUGAAGCUAUACGAAAACGCGUUGAGAUAGUGCACAAAAUCUAAGGUCCUCGUACAGCAAAAAUAAAUAACAGUAAUAACUAAUAUUUUUACAGUACGCAAAAGUAUUUUUCAAGUACUGUAGUAAUAAUUUAUUACCGUGCAUAUCCGGCUAUUUCCUUUUGGAAAAGCUGAGCCAGCACUUUAUUCACACACUUAACAGCCCUAAUGGAACUACGCGUGGCGUCGUGCUGCGAAAUUUCAUGUAAAUCUGCGACGACUUACAGACAUACAAAAUCAAGUUACAAGAAGGACGCUUUGACUGCGCAAAAGUUCGCCACCGUCGCAAAACGGAGCGAUAAGCCACUUCAGCGCAUAUACAUACAUGUACCCGUAUUCCAGAAGCUGCCGACUCAAGUGGGAAGUUAUUGGAAAGCCGGCUGUAAUAAUGCUUGCCUCACCGCAAAUCUCAGCGCUCGUUUCCUUUCGAGUGGAUUUUCCGCUAACUAGUCAGCGCGACUAUUUAAACGUCCGCUUGGCCAUUGUCAAUGGACGCAAGACGACUUGAUCAUUGACUUGGAACGCAGAGCCGAAGAAGCUGCAAAGGAGCGUGGUAUCCGCGUUGAAGAGCUGCCUGGCAUCUACCGCCACUCUAACGGUCAUUCUUACUGCGGUCGUUUCAAAGGCGUCGAAGAAUUCGACCGAGUGAGAGAAUUAGGCCAAUGUCUACAGACGGUAUUCGGCUUCCACUCAGCCGACCAGCCACAACUCCUGGUUAGCCGGAAUCAGCGGCUCUGUAUGCAAAAAGUCAGUUUUGGAAGCGAAGAUGAUAUGAUAACCACAGCCAUGGAUAGCAUGUAUGCCAGUAAAUGGUUAACUCUCCACCCGGUGGACCAGCAGCUCUUUGAUACAGCGAUGAUAUCCAUCAAGGACUGCCGCGACAAAACCGGAGGCUGUGCGGAUUGCGUAAAUCAGACUCGGCUAGCGGAUCUGAUUGCUGAGAGCCAUGCUGGGCGCACGAAACGAUAUUCCAUCAGAGACGGUCCCCACCACAUCCAGCACGGACACGAUGACCAGAUUGUCAGAGCCUGAGUGGACACGCCGCAUGCAACGUCAGUGAGGGAACCUACUGCGACUGCUGUUCUGGACCGAAGGAGGAGGCUAUGUGCCAGAGAAUGGCUCAAAAAAGUCGCCAUCCUUUUUCGACUAUGCAUAGAGUACUACGUAUUUUCUAAACCUUAGCAAUCAAAUCCGAUCGUGUCCUCUAACCCUGUGGUUCCGCUGUUCUUUCAUUCUGCUUAUACCGUACUUUGUGUUGCAUAUUUUCUUUCUGUUUAGUUUGUCUUUUUACUUUAUUUUUUUGUCAUUCUGUCAGUUAUUUUGUAGUAUG